GGGAAUGUGAUAUGGGGCAUUAGGGUCAGGGGUCAGAAGUCAGGGGCUCCUUGGGACCUGAAAGGCAGCAUUCAAGUGGGGGUUGGUGCGAGGGGGUGAAUGACCCAGAGUUGAGAGCUAGGUCAAGCCUUUCUGUGGCAUUGGAGGUGGGAGUCUAGCUUGGAUUAUCAAGGGCCUUUAGGAAUCUGUGUCAGAAACAGCACAAUUAGGGUCCCACAGGGGUACCAAAUUGGGGAUAUUUUUGAGGCCUGGGUUUUUUGAGGGUAUCAGAAGACUGCAUGUCAAGGAUCAUCAGACCGGGUGGCUGGCUCUGCAGUACUUGAGGCUGAGGUGCCUUAACGUGGUCUCACCCCUUGCUGGCUGUGUGUCCACAGGGGGUGUGGCUCGGCUCCACACCCUCUGGCUCCCCGGCCCUGCUACCCCCCAGCCACCGAGUGAAUGCGGAGCCUGGUUGUGUUGUGACCAACGCCUGUGCCUCUGGGCCCUGCCCACCUCACGCAGACUGCCGGGACCUCUGGCAGACCUUUUCUUGCACCUGCCGGCCAGGUUACUACGGCCCAGGCUGUGUGGAUGCCUGCCUCCUGAACCCCUGUCAGAACGAGGGAUCAUGCCGGCACCUGCCAGGAGCCCCCCAUGGCUAUACCUGUGACUGUGUGGGUGGCUAUUUCGGGCACCACUGUGAGCACAGGAUGGACCAGCAGUGCCCACGGGGCUGGUGGGGGAGCCCAACCUGUGGC
rnacentral:lncRNA from 1 species